rnacentral:rRNA from 1 species
AGGGAACCGCCUGAACUGAAACAUCUAAGUAGGGCGAGGAAGAGACAUCAAACGAGAUUCCGUAAGUAGUGGCGAGCGAACGCGGAAGAGGGCAAACCGAGAGGAGAAAUCCUUUCGGGGUACGGACUGCUUUUAAGACUGGAAGAGUUAACAGAAUGGCAUGGGAAGGCCAACCGAAGAGUGUGAAAGUCACGUAAGUAAAAAUUCUGACAGCUGCGCAGGAUCCAGAGUACGGCCAGACACGUGAAACCUGGUCGGAACAUGGGGGGACCACCCUCCAACCCUAAAUACUACCCAGUGACCGAUAGCGUAUAGUACUGUGAAGGAAAGGUGAAAAGCACCCCGGGAGGGGAGUGAAAAAGAACCUGAAACCCUGUGCCUACAAGCACCUAGAGCACGUCAAUGUGUGAUAGGGUACUUUUUGUAGAACGGUCCGGCGAGCGAUUGUAUGCAGCAAGGUUAAGGACUUAAGGUCUGGAGCCGAAGCGAAAGCGAGUUUGAAAAGGGCGUUAAGUUGCAUAUAAUGGGCCCGAAACCGGGUGACCUACCCAUGGUCAGGUUGAAGUGGAAGUAAAAUUCCAUGGAGGACCGAACCGACCUCCGUUGAAAAGGCGGCGGAUGAACUGUGGGUAGCGGAGAAAUUCCAAUCGAACCCGGAGAUAGCUGGUUCUCCCCGAAAUAGUUUUAGGACUAGCCUCAAGUUAGAUACCUGGAGGUAAAGCACUGAAUAGCCUAGCGGCCGAGAGGUUAGCGAAGCUUAUCAAACUCAGAAUGCCAGAGUAUUGAUGCUUGGGAGUCAGACAGUGUCAGAUAAAUGUCAUUGUCAAAAGGGAAACAGCCCAGAUCUACAGCUAAGGUCCCAAAGUCAGGUUAAGUGGAAAACGAUGUGAAGAUACGCAGACAACCAGGAUGUUGGCUCAGAAGCAGCCACUCAUUCAAAGAGUGCGUAAUAGCUCACUGGUCGAGCGUCUUUGCGCGGAGAAUUUAACGGGGCUAAACCUGACACCGAAGCUUAGGCAAUACAGCAAUGUAUUGGGUAGGGGAGCGUUGUAUACGCGGUGAAACAGUAGCGCAAGCGGCUGUGGAGUGUAUAGAAGUGAGAAUGCCGGAAUGAGUAGCGCGAAUGCAGUGAGAAUCUGCAUGGCCGAAAGCCUCAGGUUUUUGGAGGAAGGUUCGUCCGCUCCAAGUUAGUCGGGAGCUAAGGUGAGGCCGGAAGGCGUAGCCGAUGCACAGACGGUAGAGAUUCCGUCACCACCAAAAGAGUUAAGCACAGGGACACAUAUGAAGUCUCAGAGCCGGGUGUUGGUUCCGGUAGAGAUCGAGGGAAAUUAGUACCGAAGUCUGAGAUGGAAGAUGGCGAGAAAAGCUGUGUGUAUUUCUGAGGUGCCCGUACCGCAAACCGACACAGGUAGGUAGGAAGAAGAUUCUAAGGCCAACGGGAGAAGGGUUGUUAAGGAACUCGGCAAAUUGACCCCGUAACUUCGGGAGAAGGGGUGCUCCAGAGAUGGAGCCGCAGAGAAUCGGCCCAAGCAACUGUUUACCAAAAACACAGGUUUGUGCUAAAUCGAAAGAUGACGUAUACGAGCUGACGCCUGCCCGGUGCUGGAAGGUUAAGAGGAGAUGUGCAAGCAUUGAAUCGAAGCCCCAGUGAACGGCGGCCGUAACUAUAACGGUCCUAAGGUAGCGAAAUUCCUUGUCAGGUAAGUUCUGACCCGCA